GUGUGUGUGUGUGUGUGUGUGUGUGUGUGUGUGUGUGUAAUCACAAGACAGUGAGAGAUGGAGUCAGUGCGCCCUCUAGUGUUCCACUCUGAGCUGGAUGAACAAAUGACGGAUAAAAUGAACAAGAGACAAAUAUUCAUAAACAGUUCAUUAAAAUAGUAGAAUAUUAACCACACUACAUUUAAAGUAUAGUAUCAUCUGAAUCACCUUCAUAUUUUAGGCCACACCUCUUACCUGAGUGUGAUACAGUCAGAAACAACAUCAGCAAGUCUGUCUGAGACACUAAACACCACAAAGCGAUUAGAGACGCCACUGUGAGAGGAUUUACAGUGGGUAUAAAAAGUCUACACACCCCUGUUACAAUGGCAGGGUUUUGUGAAGUAAAAGAAUGAAAGUAAGAUAAAUCAUGUCAAAACUUUUCCCACCUUUAAUGUGAAAUUGCAAAGUAUACAAAUAAAGUGAAAACAAUCAGAAACUUUUCAGAGAAAAAAAAAACUUACAAUAGCCUGGUUGCAUAAAUUUGCACACCCCUAAACUAAUACUUUGUUGAAGCACAUUUUGAUUUUAUUACAGCACUCAGUUAUUUUGGGUAAGAGUCUAUCAGCGUGGCACAUCUUGACCUUGGCAAUAUUUUCCCGCUCUUUCUUCUGGAAACAUUCUAGAUCCAUCCAUUUGUAAGGGCGUCUCCUGUGCACAGCCCGCUUCAGGUCACCCCACAGAUUUUUAGAUGGAUUCAGGUCUGGACUCUGGCUAGCCCAAUCAAAAACAUUGAUCUUCUUUUGGUUAAUCGGUUCCUUUGUUGGUAUGAAUGUAUGAUUUGGGUCAUUGUCUUGCUAAAAGGGGAAAUUCCUUUUCAUCUUCAGCUUACUAGAAGACAUCUGAAUGUUUUAUACUAAAAUUGGUAUUUGUACCUAUUCAUGAUUGCUACACCUUUAAAAAAAAAAAAAAAAAAAACGCUUCCACCACCAUGCUUCACCAUGGUGAUAGUGUACUUUUGGAAUUAUUAUACCUUUUGGAAUUGGUCUCAUUAGAACAUAACACAUUUUGCCACAUAGUUUGGUGUGAUUUAUUUGAACUUAGAUGUUUGAGAAAGGACUUCUGUUUAGCCAUUGUACCCUAUAGCCCAGACAUAAAUAAUACAAGAGAUUGUUGUUGCAUGCAGAGAGUAAUCAGUAUUUGUCAGAUAUUCCUGUAGGUUCUUUCAUGUUGCUGUAGGUCUCUUUGCAGCCUCCCUGGUAUGUUUUUGUCUUGUCCUUUUAUAAAUUUUGGAGGGACAUCCUGUUCUUGGUGAUGCCACUGUGGUGCUCCAUUUUCUCCACUUGUUGAUGAUGGCUUUCACAGUGUUCCAUGAUAAGGUUCCAUUGGAAAUUCUUUUAUACCCCUCUCCUGAUCGAUGUCUUUCAACAAGUCAGAUAUCAUACAUGCUAUGUAAGUUCUUUGUGGACUAGGACUUCAGUAGUCACAUAAACCAAGAAGAUGUCAAGAAAAUUCAACAGAAACAGCUGAUCUUUACUUGGGGUUAAUUGGAAUAAUUUCAUCGAUGACAGCUGUAUGAUAAUUACAACCCCAAUUCCAAAAAGUUGGGACAGUAUGGAAAAUGCUAAAACAAACAAUGAUGAGUGAUUUGUAAAUGUACUUUGACUUGUAUUUAAACAAAAAAAAAACUUAUAAAAAGAAGGUAUUCAGUGUUUUACCUAGUCAAAUGCAUAGUUUUUUAAGAUAAAGGUUUAUUUUGAAAUUGACACAUACAACACAUUCCAAUAAAGUUGUGACAGGGGCACUAGGACUAAUAGUGAUGUGACAAGUAGAAUAAGAAGGUGAUGUGAAACAGGUGAGGUAAUCAUCUAAACAUAGUAUAUAAGGAGCCUCCAAAAAAGGUCUAGUCCUUCAAGAGCAAGGAUGGGUCGAGGCUUGCCGAUCUGCCAACAGAUGCAUCAGUGAAUAAUCCGACAAUUUGAGAACAACAUUCCCCAAAGACACAUCGAUUGAAUGUGAUUAGUUCAUUCAGAACACAGCCACACCCCCAAUUAUAAAAGUGAGAAAUCCUGCACUGAUGUGGCUUCAGCUCUUGGUACAAAUCCAUCACACAUCAGAGAGCUGGAUCUGAGUGGGAGUGAACUAGAAGACUCAGGAGUGGAGAAGCUCUGUGAUCUACUGAAGAAACACGAGUGUAAACUGGAGACACUGCUGUUAAAGAAGUGCAGUAUAAAAGAUAGAGGCUGUGCUUCUCUGACUGCAGCUCUGAGGUCCAACUCCUCACAUCUGAAAGAGCUGGAUCUGAGAGAGAAUCAACUAAAUGAUUCAGUCACAAAGCAGCUCUCUGAGAUACUGAAGAGUUCAGGAGGAAAGCUGAUGUAAGUAAACACACACAGUACUGAAUGUGUAUUUUCUGUAGAAGAAUGUCAUGUAAGAGUAAUGUAAUUAGACAAAUCAACCGCAUGUAACAAUAACAAUCUUACUGACAGAAGCACAGAGGAUAAACUUUCAUAAUUCAGAAUCCGAACUAAACCAAAACAACAACUCAUCACUGCAUGCUAAUAACUAGCUCUGAUUUAAUAGAAGUGCACUUUGAUCUGAUCUGUUACUGUUCUACACAGAAAUACCACUGCAGUUUUCUUUUCAUUUUAGCUGGACUAACAGGAUACAACAGUCCAUCAUGCUCGUAACUAACUCACUCUCAUACAGAAAUGAUCAAUUUGAAAGGGCUUGAAACAGGACAUAGCUGUGGCUGUGUGACACGCCUUUAAUUCUCAUCCUCAUUGAUUUCAUAUUUUAUAUUUUCUACAUCCUUCUAAAUGCCAAAGAUUUUCUAACAGCACCAAAGCAACAAAAAAAAGCACUUGCACCUCCAAACCAUAUAAAAAAGGUACGUGUCUGAAUCAUAGUGAAGUCUGAAUUAUGAGUAUUACUGUCAUGUAACAGAUUUGGAGAUGGAUGCACAUGCAGUUAAGAGCUUUGUUGAAGAGAGGCAGGAAGACAAAUCUAAAUCGUAAGGCCAAACCGUGGUCAAAAACAAGUGGCGGGUUCAGGUGAACGGCAAAUGGGCAUAAACUGGGCUAAAAAGAGAAUCCGAAAACACGAGGACAAAACAAGAUCAAAACCAUGAAACGUAGAGCACAAUGAACAAGGCUUGGAAUCGCACUGGCAGCAAAACACAGAAACGGUACUUCAGGUGUAAUAAAAAAGCCUCUACUCUCAUCCAAAAACAAACUCGAGCAUCUUCAGUGUGCCAGACACUACUGGAACUUCAAAUGGGAUCGGGUUCUAUGGUCAGAUGAAACCAAAAUAGAGCUUUUUGGUAAUAAACACAGAGGUGGUUUUGGAGCACACAGAGCGGUAGCCAUAUGGAAAAGUACCUCAUGUCCACGGUUAAAUAUGGAGGUGGAUCUUUAAUGUUUUGGGGCUGUUUUUCCAAAAGAGGACCCAAAUGCACAAGUUGUUUUCAUCACAGAGGUUCCAGGUUGGGAAGCUGCGUGUCCUUACAGAUGUCGAAUUUGUCUCGAGAACCUUGGCCUUCAGCUCCUGAGACCAUGGUUGCAAGAAAGAGCGCAGGUAUCAACACUUCCGAGAGCAUCCCAGAGUGCACUGAAACUCUGUGGUUUUGUGAAACACAACCCCCAUGAAGAAGAACAAACAGGUGGUACAGAAGGUGCCACAUUUACCCAUCAUCACUUGAUCCAAAACAGUGGACCGUUGCUGUGGGUGUGGCCAGCCAUGCUGCAAUGACCACCAGAGAGUCAGUGUCAUUUAUGACUAUUGUUCUCAUAGAAAAAACCAGCCUACUAAUAAAAUUCCACAAAUUAGAAGUCAAGUUACAAAGAGUGCCAAAAAAAUGUUAAUGUGCGAUAGUUUCAUUUAUUACGAAUGUGUUUCAUUCAUUGUGUAAAUGAAAAUGUUUUAUAUUUAAAUGAGUUUUUGUUUUCUCAUUGUUGUUGAAGAUAUUUGAUGGCAAAUAAAAUGUCAAAAUAUAAGGAAACGUGCUUUAUUUUAUUAUUUUGUAAUGUUAAUAAAAUAUUAGGGCAGUUUUAUACUAUUGGGGCAGUUUAGAGAUCCAUCCGUGUUAGAUAUAUACUCCAGCUCGCUAAAGAUCUGAAUAUUUAAUAACUAUUGGCCAAACAUUUAUAUGUUUAAUGGUUAAUAUGCCUUCAAUAUGGAGGUCUGUUUAUGUAACCAGAUGAAGGAGUGAACAAUGUGUGUUUAAUAAAAUAAAUAGUGACAGCUGGAUUGUGAGAAUGUAAUGUAACCCCAGCAAUAUGCUGAUUUAAUGACUGAUCUGUUUUUAAUAGCGGCUAUUUGGUAAGUUUCAGAAGCAUUACUUGCUUUUCUCAUAUUAAAAUAGAAUUUUGUACUGAAAUAAAUUUGUAUUGAACUGAAAAAGAUUGUAAUG